GAUGGAGAACGCAGCGAAAUGCGAUAAGUAAUGUGAAUUGCAGAAUUCAGUGAAUCAUCGAAUCUUUGAACGCACAUUGCGCCCGCCAGUAUUCUGGCGGGCAUGCCUGUUCGAGCGUCAUUUCAACCAUCAAGCCCCCGGCUUGUGUUGGGGACCUGCGGCUGCCGCAGGCCCUGAAAACCAGUGGCGGGCUCGCUAGUCACUCCGAGCGUAGUAAUACAUCUCGCUCAGGGCGUGCUGCGGGUUCCGGCCGUUAAAAAGCCUUAUUUACCCAAGGUUGACCUCGGAUCAGGUAGGAAGACCCGCUGAACUUAAGCAUAUCAAUAAGCGGAGGA
rnacentral:misc_RNA from 1 species